rnacentral:rRNA from 1 species
ACGGGAGGCAGCAGUGGGGAAUAUUGGACAAUGGGGGAAACCCCGAUCCAGCGACGCCGCGUGAGUGAAGAAGUAUUUCGGUAUGUAAAGCUCUAUCAGCAAGGAAGAAAAUGACGGUACUUGACUAAGAAGCCCCGGCUAACUACGUGCCAGCAGCCGCGGUAAUACGUAGGGGGCAAGCGUUAUCCGGAUUUACUGGGUGUAAAGGGAGCGUAGACGGUAUGGCAAGUCUGAAGUGAAAUGCAUGGGCUCAACCCAUGAACUGCUUUGGAAACUGUCAAACUAGAGUGCAGGAGAGGUAAGUGGAAUUCCUAGUGUAGCGGUGAAAUGCGUAGAUAUUAGGAGGAACACCAGUGGCGAAGGCGGCUUACUGGACUGUAACUGACGUUGAGGCUCGAAAGCGUGGGGAGCAAACAGGAUUAGAUACCCUGGUA